UACGAAGGGGGCUAGCGUUGCUCGGAAUGACUGGGCGUAAAGGGCGCGUAGGCGGCUUGCACAGUCAGGCGUGAAAUUCCUGGGCUCAACCUGGGGACUGCGCUUGAGACGUGUGGGCUUGAGUGGGGAAGAGGGUCGUGGAAUUCCCAGUGUAGAGGUGAAAUUCGUAGAUAUUGGGAAGAACACCGGUGGCGAAGGCGGCGACCUGGUCCUUGACUGACGCUGAGGCGCGAAAGCGUGGGGAGCAAACGGG
rnacentral:rRNA from 1 species